GCUGGGUGUGGUGACGUGCACCUGUGGUCCCAGCUACACAGGAGGCUGAGGUGGGAGGAUUGAUUGAGCCCAGGAGUUCAAGGCUGCAGCAAGCUGUGAUCAUUCUACUGCACUGCACUCCAGCCUGGGCAACAGAACAAGACCCCAUCUCAG
ensembl:misc_RNA Metazoa_SRP Metazoan signal recognition particle RNA